CUGAAGGGACAGUAGUGCCAGCCAUGCUCCAGGGUUGCUGAGGGGAUGGUAGACUGGUGACGUGCACUUCAUUUAUGAUGUAGGUCACCUGUUUCACUAUCCAUCGGCACCCAGUCCAUCUG
rnacentral:pre_miRNA from 1 species